rnacentral:lncRNA from 1 species
ACACCUUCUUGAGCUUUUGCUGCUGCACGACGCGCGCCUUCUUGGGAGCGAUAACACGACCUGGGGAAAGAUGUGCUCACGUGAGGCCGGGAAGCCGGGGGUCCACCUCGCCCCCAAGUCCCCGGGCCGCUCCUUACCGCCUUUUCUUGGGCCCCGAUUCUUUUCAGAGGCUGCCGCUGCCGUCUUACUCUUUGCGGGUUUGUGCGCCUGAAACUUGCGCUGCCCCUGCGCCAUGGUCCGGCACGCAGCGGAAGAGGCGGGACUGUGAGCAGUCGUAGCCGGAAGGCACAGGGAACCAUGGGAUACAGCGGGGCGGAAAAACGCAAGAACUCACGGGAUACAACGUGGCACAGAGUUAAAGAGACAGCAUCCCACAAGGGUAGUGUAGUGGAUCACAGUUGGAGUUUUCAAACAUUACGAACAAAACGGUGACAAUGAUAAGCUAACGUUUAUUGAGAGCUUAUGUGUUUUAGAAAACUUACAACGUUUUAUGAUCUUUACACAUAAAAACUCAGACUAGGUUAGGGUGUGGCACUCACCUCUGGUACAGAAUUUAAGAAGGUUCAAAAACUUUGGUAAUAGUAAACAAUAUUUUCAAGACUUAAAAAAUAUUUUAAUAUCCAAAAUAAUCAAAUUGUUAAACUACAUCCUGCAGACCGGCAGCAUAAUUUUGUAAAUAAAGUUUUAGUGGAACCAGGGUGUUGAGGUCAGUAAGCUCAAGGCACAAGUGCGGGGUUCUAGCCUCUUCAAAAUUUUAUUUAGGCCGGGCACGGUGGCUCACGCUUGUAAUCCCAGCACUUUCGGAGGCCGCGGGGCGCGGAUCACCCGAGGUCAGGAGUUGGAGACCAGCCACGACUAACAUGGUGUCUCCAAUAAAAAUACAAAAAUUAGCCAGGAUGGUCUCAAUCUCCUGAUCUUGUGAUCCACCUGCCUCGGCCUCCCAAAGUGCUGGGAUUACAGGUGUGAGCCACUGCGCCCGGCCUGUUAUCCACAUUUUAUAAAUGAGGAAACCAAGGCACAGAGAGGUGAAGUGACUUGCCCAAGAUCAUACAGUGG